rnacentral:lncRNA from 1 species
CCGAUCCUCCUCCUCUCCUCCUAUUCGGCUGGCUGCGCGCACAUUCAGCCGGUCUCAUAGGAAAGCAUUCAUAAUGCUUUCCUAUGGACGCUUGCGUGUUCUUACUGUGAUUUUCACAGUGAGAAUCACGCAAGCGCCUCUAGCGGCUGUCAAUGAGACAGCCACUAGAGGAAUUGAGGGCUGGAUUAACCCAUUUAUAAACACAGC